AGUGAACGCUGGCGGCAGGCCUAACACAUGCAAGUCGAACGGCAGCACAGGAGAGCUCGCUCUCUGGGUGGCGAGUGGCGGACGGGUGAGGAAUACAUCGGAAUCUACCUUUUCGUGGGGGAUAACGUAGGGAAACUUACGCUAAUACCGCAUACGACCUUCGGGUGAAAGCAGGGGACCUUCGGGCCUUGCGCGAUUAGAUGAGCCGAUGUCGGAUUAGCUAGUUGGUGAGGUAAAGGCUCACCAAGGCGACGAUCCGUAGCUGGUCUGAGAGGAUGAUCAGCCACACUGGAACUGAGACACGGUCCAGACUCCUACGGGAGGCAGCAGUGGGGAAUAUUGGACAAUGGGCGCAAGCCUGAUCCAGCCAUGCCGCGUGGGUGAAGAAGGCCUUCGGGUUGUAAAGCCCUUUUGUUGGGAAAGAAAAGCAGUCGAUUAAUACUCGAUUGUUCUGACGGUACCCAAAGAAUAAGCACCGGCUAACUUCGUGCCAGCCGCCGCCGUAAUAC
rnacentral:rRNA from 1 species